GUUAGCACUUUUAGCCCCCAGAAUGGAAGGGGGAGGGCGGGUGGGGCAGCGGGGUGGCAUUUCAGAAAGGCCUUCUGGGAGGGGAGGCUGUGCCGUCUCGGGCAGGGGACGCAUACAACGCAUUGCAGGAACAAGGAAUAAGCUGGUUUGUGUGGGGACAGGGACCGUGUAGACAGGACUGCAGAUGAUGUGAGGGAGCCCAGUGGAGCCGGGUCCGAAGGGCCUUGAAUGCCAGGCUAAGUGGUUUGACUUGACCUUCAGGGCUGUGGGAGUCACUAAUGGUUCUUGAGAGAGGGAGAUGUGCACUGGGAAAGCCCUGUUGAGACCCAGCCCGGUGUCAGGGCCUUUCCCCUGCAUUGGGGGCAGUGGCCUGGAAGGAGGGGGCUGGAGACAGGGAGAACAGCGAGGAGGUCUUUCUAGGGGGUCCCAAGACCAAGUCCCCUGGGCUCCCAGCCAGUCCCACUCCUUACACUGGCUUUCUGGGGGUUAGGGUGACCCCUCCCCUCUGCCCUGGAGCCCUGGGAGAUGCUGCUGUCUAGAUUCUGAAAAGGUUCCUAGUUCUGAGCCAGCCCCCUCCCCGCCCCCCCCGGCCUGCCCUGAGGCCACACUGGCCACACAUCAGACUGGCCCGGGCACGGAUCACCUGUUGCCCUCUCUGGGCACAUUCUUGCCCAGGCAGGCCAUGGAGAGGAGAGCUGGAGGAGGCUGGGGAGGGGAGGGAGGGCGAGGGGCCAGGGCUCUGCAGUGGGCGGCGGGAUGGUCCUUGCGAUGCUGUGACAGGUGUGUGUACGCUGGGGGUGUAUGUCUUGGAAGGGGUCGUACAGGGCACUCUAGUGGUCCACUGGCGGCUGCACCAGCUGUUGGUACUGUCCCUCCCACCCCUUCAUCACCCAUCAGAGGUUAAACCGGGACUCCGCAAGCUGGCUGAGGGGAAGAUCGCUGUGGUCGGGCUGGGAACCCCCUGCUCAGUGGCAUCCUGGGGGCUGGCGGAGGCGCAGCUGCCCGGGUCCCUUCCCAGCUCCUCUGAGGCCACUCCACUGUCACAGGUCCUCGCCACGCUGGGAGGCUGGCAGGCGAGAGGCCGGGGCCAGCGGCCGCAGGGGCUUCAGCACGAGGAGGGGCUACGGGGGUGGGGAGGGGUGGGCGAGGAGAAGUGCGGGAGAAAGGGGGACAGAAGCUGAGAGCUGGCAGCGCCGGGCAAAGCAGGACGCUGACUGAAACUUCCCUGUCAGCUUCACCCGAUUAUCUCGCUUAAUCCUCACAGCGCCUCCUGGGACCAGGCUCCCCUCUCUGGAGGCAGCCCGCUUCACCUGCAGCUUGGCUUUCCUUCCAGGGUGUCUGCGGAGAGACAAGCCAACAUCUGCAUCGGAAAGCAAAUAGACGCACACGUUUCCCUCCGUUUAACCCAUUAAAGGCCGGCAUUCCAUCA
rnacentral:lncRNA from 1 species